rnacentral:rRNA from 1 species
CCUACGGGUGGCUGCAGUGGGGAAUAUUGCACAAUGGGCGCAAGCCUGAUGCAGCCAUGCCGCGUGUGUGAAGAAGGCCUUCGGGUUGUAAAGCACUUUCAGCGGGAAGGAAGGCGUUAAGGUUAAUAACCUUGGCGAUUGACGUUACCCGCAGAAGAAGCACCGGCUAACUCCGUGCCAGCAGCCGCGGUAAUACGGAGGGUGCAAGCGUUAAUCGGAAUUACUGGGCGUAAAGCGCACGCAGGCGGUCUGUCAAGUCGGAUGUGAAAUCCCCGGGCUCAACCUGGGAACUGCAUUCGAAACUGGCAGGCUAGAGUCUUGUAGAGGGGGGUAGAAUUCCAGGUGUAGCGGUGAAAUGCGUAGAGAUCUGGAGGAAUACCGGUGGCGAAGGCGGCCCCCUGGACAAAGACUGACGCUCAGGUGCGAAAGCGUGGGGAGCAAACAGGAUUAGAUACCCUAGUAGUC